rnacentral:rRNA from 1 species
UACGUAGGGUGCGAGCGUUAAUCGGAAUUACUGGGCGUAAAGGGUGCGCAGGCGGCUUCGCAAGUCAGGCGUGAAAUCCCCGAGCUUAACUUGGGAAUUGCGUUUGAAACUACGAAGCUGGAGUGUGGCAGAGGGAGGUGGAAUUCCACGUGUAGCGGUGAAAUGCGUAGAUAUGUGGAGGAACACCGAUGGCGAAGGCAGCCUCCUGGGCCAACACUGACGCUCAUGCACGAAAGCGUGGGGAGCAAACAGG